CUUUUUAAGCGGUUCAAGGGUUUUGAAAUGUGGCAAACCAGCCUUUGCUGGCGGAUAAGCUAAGUCCUCCAGGGGAAGAAUCACUCCUUGGAGCGCUAGUGCUGGCUUGAGAUGUGAAACAGCAGGAGCAGCAGUUUCCGCACCGUGGCUGAUUUUCCGCUCCAGCAACUCAAAGCAGGCCAGUCACAUCUCUGCGUGCCGUGAUAGACAUCAUAGAUCACAGCAAGCAUGAUGAUGAACAUCAUAUCGGCAAUGUUAUCAUAUAUUUGAGGCACAUUCGCCAGAUGCAUGCAAACCCCGGUGACGCUGAGGGGACACGAUCAAGCUUCUCCAGCACAGCGUCUCACUUGCCAUCUCGCAGUGGAGUUAUAACUUCCUGAGGGGCAGGACACAGCAGGUGAUGCAGGGGGACACCACCUCAUCUACACGCACGAUCAACACUGAGGCAGAUCAAGGUUGUGUCCUGUCUCCUCUGUGCUUCUCACUCGGCACAAUCGACUGCACCUCAAUGCACAAACUCCUGAAGUUCAUAGAUGAACCACAGUCAUUGGCCUCAUCAAAGUCUGCGUAUCAACAGGAAGUGGUGAGACUAGAAUUUUGGUGUGGCCAACACAACCUGGUAUUGAACACUCUAAAGACUAUAGAAAUGAUUGUGGACUUCAGGAGGCAUCCUUCAUGUUGUAUUAAUUGUACAUAGUUAUCACAUAUUUGCUCUCGUUUAGUUUUUAAUGCUCUUUUGCUAUGCUAAAUGUGCUUAAACAAUGUGAUGCAAUGAAGAGGCACACUGGGUGCCGUGGACUCACCAGACAGUAAUGCAGCUGACAACAUCAAGACUGAUGAUCUUGAGAGGAUGGGGAAGACAUUACAAAGACUCACGUUGGCUUUUGUUGUCACAGUUGCUUCAUUUAUUGACUCAUGCUUUUUUUUUUUUUUGUCACAUUUGCUUUGUUACGUUGCGGACCGCCCUGAGGAAAUAAAAAGGAGGAUUCGUGGGGAUAUGACCAGAACAGGAUGGAGAUGGUGGGAGAGACACAUCCAGUGUUCCCCUCAUGAGCAAUAGUUCCUUUUGUCUUCCUUCCUUGAGAGAUCGUACUUUAAAUGCCCUAGGUUGUGUGAGCCUGGCUCUAACCAGUGGCGAUGGUGUCGCCGCCUUCUCACGUUGCUGUCCAGGAGGUGGCGAUGGUGUCGCCGCCUUCUCACGUUGCUGUCCAGGAGGUGGCGAUGGUGUCGCCGCCUUCUCACGUUGCUGUCCAGGAGGUGGCGAUGGUGUCGUCGCCUUCUCACGUUCCUGUCCAGGAGGAGGUGGUACUGGUGCCGCCUUCUCACGUUGCUGUCCAGGAGGUGGCGAUGGUGUCGCCGCCUUCUCACGUUGCUGUCCAGGAGGUGGCGAUGGUGUCGUCGCCUUCUCACGUUGCUGUCCAGGAGGUGGUGAUGGUUUCGCCGCCGUCUCACGUUGCUGUCCAGGAGGAGGCGAUGGUGUCGCCGCCUUCUCACGUUGCUGUCCAGGAGGAGGCGAUGGUGUCGCCGCCUUCUCACGUUGCUGUCCAGGAGGAGGUGAUGGUGUCGCCGCCUUCUCACGUUGCUGUCCAGGAGGAGGCGAUGGUGUCGCCGCCUUCUCACGUUGAGGUCCAGGAGGAGCUGGGGAGUUCUGUGGAGCCACCCUGGAGCUGGAGAGACUUCGGGAUGGCGGUCAUGGCUCUGGUCCUUCUCUCCAUCAUCCUAUUCGCUCCAGAUGGCUCCCAGGCGCUACAAGACCUGGCCUCGUUGGUGACCAAUCCACAGCUGCCUACUGAUCAACCCUCGGUAGCGACCAAUCCCUGGUCGUCUUGCAACCACGGCGUGGGAGGUUCUCGUCCGGAGCCGUGGCCUGCCUCGUUCUGGUUCCUGCUUCGCCGUUUGGUUCCUCACAGAGGUCGUCCGCCCGAAUCGCCCCUUGGGGACCCUGGUGCUUGGCGUCCGGGUCGUCCUCCUGACCUGUCCACCCGGACGCCUUGUGUUUGGUGGCCUAGCUGGCCACCAGACUGGGGUUUGGGGGGGGGGGGUGCCCUCCUCCGGACACCCCUUCCAACCACCCCUGCCUGUGUUAAUUAUUGUCUGUUUUUUCGUUUAGGCACGUCUGGGAGCCGUGCCUUUGAGGGGAGGGGGGGUACUGUCAUGAUCCUGCCGCUCCAGCACGAGCUGUGCGGGUGUCUGCGCAGGUGCGCUGAUUGGAAGUAUCCCUGAUCGAACCUGUGUGUACCGACCUUCGCAUGUUCUCCGACCAACCUUCGCACAGCUGAAAUAACGAACGAGUGGCUGGAGAACAAACUCUGUGACUGUUCUUCAAUGGCCCAGGAAAGACGUUCCAAUGGUUACCCACCAACAUUCAUCAAGACAGAACUGGAGAGGAUCACCAAAUGCAGGCAGUGGAACAGGUGGUACGGCGCACCAUGAAGAACCCUAAGACAUUCAAAACUAAGACUUCUACCGUCAACCUCAAGCUAUCCACCACCCAACAUGAGCCUCUCCCAUUCCUCCAAAGAGAGUUGGGCCAUGCUUCCAAAAAAAAAGGGCUGAUGCUGCUUACUGAGACAAGGGACACCGGCAGGCAUCAAGACCAUAGGGCAGCACUAGAAGAGGACAUUGACAUUGUACAGAUAAAAUAUCUGGCCGACUUCAUUGUUCUUGAACAGAGGGGGACGGAAGACCCUUUUGCUUCUGCAGAACUGCUAUGAUUAAGCAUGGAAAAAGUUGUUGAGUUUAAUUUUCAGAACAAACUAAUUCCUAAUUUUGCCAUCCUCUUUUUGAUUUGCAGAAAUUCCAAAUGUUGAAAAUUGGAGGGGUAACUCUUAGGGAAAAUAUCAAACAGAUCCUGAAGAGGUCAAUGAAUAUUCUGUAUUUUGUACAGAAUGUCAUUUUUUUUGCCAGUAACAUAAGGUGAAGAUUUUGUGCUUGUAUAAACAAAAUACGGAUUCUUGUGUUUGAUAGAUUCCUAACUGAUAGAGUGUUUGCCAGACGUAAUAAUAACCAGGUCUCUUAAUUUUGAACUCAGAAUGUAUCUUGAGAAACCACGAGGAGACGCUGAGUAGUGUACAAAGUGCGGGCACAUCAUUUCUAAAAUAUGCGCCUGACAGAUGCGGUGGUACCC